CAUUAGAUGACUGAAAGCAAGUAAUGGUCUCUUAAACCAAAAAAUAGUAACCUAGCAAUUACUUCUAAUGA
rnacentral:tRNA from 1 species